rnacentral:rRNA from 1 species
AUUGAACGCUGGCGGCAUGCUUUACACAUGCAAGUCGAACGGUAACAGGCCGCAAGGUGCUGACGAGUGGCGCACGGGUGAGUAAUGCAUCGGAACGUGCCCAGUCGUGGGGGAUAACUACUCGAAAGAGUAGCUAAUACCGCAUACGAUCUAUGGAUGAAAGCGGGGGACCGUAAGGCCUCGCGCGAUUGGAGCGGCCGAUGUCAGAUUAGGUAGUUGGUGGGGUAAAGGCUCACCAAGCCAACGAUCUGUAGCUGGUCUGAGAGGACGACCAGCCACACUGGGACUGAGACACGGCCCAGACUCCUACGGGAGGCAGCAGUGGGGAAUUUUGGACAAUGGGCGCAAGCCUGAUCCAGCAAUGCCGCGUGCAGGAAGAAGGCCUUCGGGUUGUAAACUGCUUUUGUACGGAACGAAACGGCUCUGGUUAAUACCCGGGGCUAAUGACGGUACCGUAAGAAUAAGCACCGGCUAACUACGUG